GUGGUGUAGGUGUGGAGUAAGUGGUGUAGGUGUAGGGUAAGUGGUGUAGGUGUAGGGUAAGUACGGGGCGUGUUUUGUUCAUCCAAAUCCCGAACCUCCCUCUCGCAAGCAGCACAAAAUGUUGGCGGAGUUUUCACUGCGUUGGUUCCCGGAGCUCAGUAAGUUCCGUGGAAUGGGCGUUGUGAAUGUAAACUCGGUGGCCAAGUCACAGCGCAGUUGCGUCACCCGCGGCGUUCGAGUGGCGAGAAUCGUGAGCGCAUCGCAGCGGACCCUGGGAGCGCCUCUCGACACGAAGGAUGAUUCCCCCCCCCCCACGCCGCCCCCUGGACGUUCAUCCGAGAAGGAAGAGCAUCUUAAGAGGCACGAUGGGGAUUUCCACCGCGGGAACCACCUCGCAGGCUGCUGCUGCGGCGGCGGCGGCGAAUCCUGCUCGCGGGUCGAGGAUAUUAUCUUGUUAUUUUGACUGUCGCGGUGCAGUUGCCCCGUGGGGGGACGGAGGAGGAGGGAGGGGGGGGGAGCACCCGGGCUUGGCUUGUCUGGCGAGCACCUGCUGAUAAAUAACGCGACGCGCGGGGCCCCAGCCUGUGUGGAGCCACCGCGCCGUAAAUCACGCGUCGAGAGCGGCGCUCGUGUGACACGGACGCGUCUCGCGCUCCUCCUCGCGUCUACGCAGUGGGGGGAGGGCGGUGGUGGUGGCAGUGGUGGCGGCGGUGGUGGCGGUGGUGGCGGUGGAGGUCCUCGCGUCCGCGUUCGCGCCGCCGCACUCCCGCGUGAGAUAUUCAACCCAAGCCGCGCCUCCUCCCCUCCCGAGGAUUCAUUGUUGCGCGUCGCUCGCUCUUUGGAAGUCACGAAGCGCUUAACGGUGGAGUCGGUGGAUAUAAUUCAUUGGCUGUUCAAUUACAUCUCUGGCCUGGCCGAUGAAUAAACAAUCUCAUCGCCAUUGACAAACGUUGUUUGUUGCUUCCAGCGGCGGCGGGCAGAAAAAUAAACUCAGACAAAUGUUUGAAUGUGAACAACAGAUUUAAGACUAAUUUCUCAAGAACCCUCUUUUUGUGUUUAAUUUGUUGUCCCCAACCCGCACCUCCGACGAGCACGAUUGGCUACGUACGGCGCGAAAGAAGUUCAACACACAGUACGUGCGUACAUUAUAUAAAAGUCAGCCUCUCCAUGCCCACUGCAGGAAUAGGGUCAGCAUGAUUCAUCGGCGAGGUCCUCCUGAAGCCCUUCACGGGGGGAGGUAAAAAGCGACAUCUGCCACGCUCGCGUUGUCGUGGCGACACCGCCCCACGCGAACGAGAGAAGAGACGGGAGAAGAGACGGGAGUUCGCCUGCCAUGG